rnacentral:rRNA from 1 species
CCUACGGGUGGCUGCAGUAGGGAAUAUUGCUCAAUGGGGGAAACCCUGAAGCAGCAACGCCGCGUGUAGGAUGAAGGUUUUCGGAUUGUAAACUCCUUUUGUUAGAGAAGAUAAUGACGGUAUCUAACAACUAAGCAACGGCUAACUCCGUUCCAGCAGCCGCGGUCAUACGGAGGGUGCAAGCGUUACUCGGAAUCACUGGGCGUAAAGAUCGCGUAGGCGGGAUGGCAAGUCAGAUGUGAAAUCCUAUGGCUUAACCAUAGAACUGCAUCUGAAACUGGUAUUCUUGAGUAUGGUAGAGGUAGGUAGAAUUCUUGGUGUAGCGGUAAAAUCCGUAGAGAUCAAGAGGAAUACUGAUUGCGAAGGCGACCUGCUAGAACAUAACUGACGCUGAUGUGCGAAAGCGUGGGGAGCAAACAGGAUUAGAUACCCCAGUAGUC